UACGAGGGGAGCAAGCGUUGUUCGGAUUUACUGGGCGUAAAGGGCGCGUAGGCGGCGUGACAAGUCACUUGUGAAAUCUCCGGGCUUAACUCGGAAAGGUCAACUGAUACUGCGCGGCUAGAGUGCAGAAGGGGCAACUGGAAUUCUCGGUGUAGCGGUGAAAUGUGUAGAUAUCGAGAGGAACAUCUGCGGCGAAGGCGGGUUGCUGGGCUGACACUGACGCUGACGCGCGAAAGCCAGGGGAGCGAACGGG
rnacentral:rRNA from 1 species